GGACUACUGGGGUUUCUAAUCCUGUUUGCUACCCACGCUUUCGCGCCUCAGCGUCAGAACCGGUCCAGGUAGCCGCCUUCGCCACUGGUGUUCCUCCCAAUAUCUACGCAUUUCACCGCUACACUGGGAAUUCCGCUACCCCCUCCCGGCCUCAAGCCGUACAGUUUCAAAGGCAGUUCCUCAGUUGAGCCGAGGGAUUUCACCUUUGACUUGUACAGCCGCCUACGCGCCCUUUACGCCCAAUAAUUCCGAAUAACGCUCGCCCCCUCCGUAUUACCGCGGCUGCUGGCAC
rnacentral:rRNA from 1 species